GGCAAGAACAAGGGGAGACCCUAAUCUCAUCAAUUAACAUCAAAAUUCAGCAAGAUUGUGAAGGAUUCUAGUCAUAAAUCGAAUGUUUGUGCUUAACUAUUGUCUAAUCCAAGAGUUUUGAGCAUAAGGAUCGAAAGAAGAAGGAGCUAGUUCCGGAUCACAAACAAAGGCACAAGAUCGAGGAUCGAAAGAAGAAGGAGCUAGUUCCGGAUCACAAACAAAGGCACAAGAUCGAGGUAAG